rnacentral:rRNA from 1 species
UAGAGUUUGAUCCUGGCUCAGAAUGAACGCUGGCGGCGUGCUUAACACAUGCAAGUCGAACGAGAACGGGAUUGCUUGCAAUCCUUAGUAGAGUGGCGCACGGGUGAGUAACACGUAGAUAAUCUACCUUCAAGCCCGGGAUAACUAUUCGAAAGGAUAGCUAAUACCGGAUGAAGGUGUUUUGCCUAAGUAAAACAAUGAAAGAUUGCCUCUUCUUGAAAGCAAUUGUUUGGAGAUGAGUCUGCGGACCAUUAGUUUGUUGGUGGGGUAAAAGCCUACCAAGACUGCGAUGGUUAGCUGGUCUGAGAGGAUGAUCAGCCACACUGGAACUGGAACACGGUCCAGACUCCUACGGGAGGCAGCAGUGAGGAAUUUUGCGCAAUGGGGGAAACCCUGACGCAGCAACGCCGCGUGAGUGAAGAAGGCUCUUGGGUCGUAAAGCUCUGUCGACAGGGAAGAAAUUAACAUCAUCCAA